UAGCCGAUUUUGUGGCUAUAGUGGCCACCAU
rnacentral:sRNA from 1 species